rnacentral:rRNA from 1 species
GACGAACGCUGGCGGCGUGCUUAACACAUGCAAGUCGAACGGAAAGGCCCUGCUUUUGUGGGGUGCUCGAGUGGCGAACGGGUGAGUAACACGUGAGUAACCUGCCCUUGACUUUGGGAUAACUUCAGGAAAAUGGGGCUAAUACCGGAUAGGAGCUCCUGCUGCAUGGUGGGGGUUGGAAAGUUUCGGCGGUUGUGGAUGGACUCGCGGCUUAUCAGCUUGUUGGUGGGGUAGUGGCUUACCAAGGCUUUGACGGGUAGCCGGCCUGAGAGGGUGACCGGCCACAUUGGGACUGAGAUACGGCCCAGACUCCUACGGGAGGCAGCAGUGGGGAAUAUGGCACAAUGGGCGGAAGCCUGAUGCAGCAACGUCGCGUGCGGGAUGACGUCCUUCGGGUUGUAAACCGCUUUCGCCUGUGACGAAGCGUGAGUGACGGUAAUGGGUAAAGAAGCACCGGCUAACUACGUG